GCUCAACGGAUAAAAGGUACUCCGGGGAUAACAGGCUGAUACCGCCCAAGAGUUCAUAUCGACGGCGGUGUUUGGCACCUCGAUGUCGGCUCAUCACAUCCUGGGGCUGAAGUAGGUCCCAAGGGUAUGGCUGUUCGCCAUUUAAAGUGGUACGCGAGCUGGGUUUAGAACGUCGUGAGACAGUUCGGUCCCUAUCUGCCGUGGGCGCUGGAGAAUUGAGGGGGGCUGCUCCUAGUACGAGAGGACCGGAGUGGACGCAUCACUGGUGUUCGGGUUGUCAUGCCAAUGGCACUGCCCGGUAGCUAAAUGCGGAAGAGAUAAGUGCUGAAAGCAUCUAAGCACGAAACUUGCCCCGAGAUGAGUUCUCCCUGAGACUU
rnacentral:rRNA from 1 species